GACGAACGCUGGCGGCGUGCUUAACACAUGCAAGUCGAGCGGUAAGGCCCUUUCGGGGGUACACGAGCGGCGAACGGGUGAGUAACACGUGGGUGACCUGCCCUUAGCUCUGGGAUAAGCCUGGGAAACUGGGUCUAAUACCGGAUAUGACUCCAUGACGCAUGUUGUGGGGUGGAAAGCCUUGUGCGGCUAGGGAUGGGCCCGCGGCCUAUCAGCUUGUUGGUGGGGUGAUGGCCUACCAAGGCGACGACGGGUAGCCGGCCUGAGAGGGCGACCGGCCACACUGGGACUGAGACACGGCCCAGACUCCUACGGGAGGCAGCAGUGGGGAAUCUUGCGCAAU
rnacentral:rRNA from 1 species